rnacentral:pre_miRNA from 1 species
AUCACCCCGGGUCUUGUUAAAGUGCAGAUUCUGAUUCAGUAGGUCUGGACUGGAGCCUGAGAUUCAGCAUUUCUAACAAGUUCUUUGGUGAUGCUGA